rnacentral:rRNA from 1 species
GUGAAACAAUGAUGCUAAUUGUUGGAGGGUUUCCACCCUUCACUACUGCAACAAACGCAUUAAACACUCCGCCUGGGGAGUACGAGCGCAAGGUUGAAACUCGAAGGAAUUGACGGGGGCCCGCACAAGGCGGUGGAACAUGUGGUUUAAUUCGAAGCAACCCAAAGAAGCUUACCAGGUCUUGACAGCCGUUAACGACUCUAAAGAGAGAGCUUGCCCUUCGGGGACAAAGUGGACAGAGUGUGUGCAGUGUUGUCAGGCAGCUCGUGUCGUGAGAUGUUGAGUUAUGUCGCGCAAGCACCGCAGCCCUGAUUNUNAGUNGNNAUNNNNNAGUUAGGCACUCUGGCGAGACUGCCAGUAGAGGGAGCCGGAGGAAGGUGGGAAUGGAGGUGAGAUCAUC